GAAGCCACUGAUUUAAUUUGUUAUGUUUGUUUUUGGUCGGCAAUAAUUAUGGAGUAUAUAGCUUAACAUGAGCGUUGUUAUUGUGUAUGAUAGUAUUUUGAUACGGCUGGUAUAGCAAUAUCUUUGAUGUGUAUUAUUAUGGUUGUUUUUAGUCUUUUUUUUUUUGAGGCAAUGAUUGUUAUAAGUCUUAAUAACAAGUAAUCAAGAUCAUUGUGUGAAUUACUGUUUUAUUCCACUAAUU
rnacentral:lncRNA from 1 species